rnacentral:rRNA from 1 species
UACGUAGGUGGCAAGCGUUGUCCGGAAUUACUGGGCGUAAAGUGUGCGCAGGCGGCGUCGCAAGUCGUGUGUGAAAGCCCCGGGCUUAACUUGGGAAUUGCGCUCGAAACUAUGAUGCUGGAGUAUGGCAGAGGAAGGUGGAAUUCCACGUGUAGCGGUGAAAUGCGUAGAGAUGUGGAGGAACACCGAUGGCGAAGGCAGCCUUCUGGGCCAAUACUGACGCUCAUGCACGAAAGCGUGGGGAGCAAACAGG